CAGUCGCCGCGGUAAUGCGUAGGGUGCAAGCGUUAAUCGGAAUUACUGGGCGUAAAGCGUGCGCAGGCGGUUCGCUAAGACAGAUGUGAAAUCCCCGGGCUUAACCUGGGAACUGCAUUUGUGACUGGCGGGCUAGAGUAUGGCAGAGGGGGGUAGAAUUCCACGUGUAGCAGUGAAAUGCGUAGAGAUGUGGAGGAAUACCGAUGGCGAAGGCAGCCCCCUGGGCCAAUACUGACGCUCAUGCACGAAAGCGUGGGGAGCAAACAGGAUUAGAUACCCCCGUAGUCCCUGUCUCUUAUAC
rnacentral:rRNA from 1 species